UACGGAGGGUGCAAGCGUUAUCCGGAUUCACUGGGUUUAAAGGGUGCGUAGGUGGGCAGGUAAGUCAGUGGUGAAAUCUCCGGGCUUAACUCGGAAACUGCCAUUGAUACUAUCUGUCUUGAAUACCGUGGAGGUCAGCGGAAUAUGUCAUGUAGCGGUGAAAUGCUUAGAUAUGACAUAGAACACCAAUUGCGAAGGCAGCUGGCUACACGAAUAUUGACACUGGAUGCACGAAGCGUGGGAGCAA
rnacentral:rRNA from 1 species